rnacentral:rRNA from 1 species
CCUACGGGAGGCAGCAGUAGGGAAUAUUUCACAAUGGGGGAAACCCUGAAGCAGCAACGCCGCGUGGAGGAUUAAGGUUUUCGGAUUGUAAACUCCUUUUGUUAGAGAAGAUAAUGACGGUAACUAACGAAUAAGCACCGGCUAACUCCGUGCCAGCAGCCGCGGUAAUACGGAGGGUGCAAGCGUUACUCGGAAUCACUGGGCGUAAAGCGCGCGUAGGCGGGAUAGCAAGUCGGAUGUGAAAUCCAAUGGCUUAACCAUAGCACUGCAUAUGAAACUGUUAUUCUAGAGUAUGGGAGAGGUAAGUGGAAUUCUUGGUGUAGGGGUAAAAUCCGUAGAGAUCAAGAGGAAUACUCAUUGCGAAGGCGACCUGCUAGAACAUAACUGACGCUGAUGCGCGAAGGCGAGGGGAGCGAACGGGAUUAGAUACCCUAGUAGUC